UACGUAGGUGGCAAGCGUUGUCCGGAAUUAUUGGGCGUAAAGCGCGCGCAGGCGGAUCAGUCAGUCUGUCUUAAAAGUUCGGGGCUUAACCCCGUGAUGGGAUGGAAACUGCCAAUCUAGAGUAUCGGAGAGGAAAGUGGAAUUCCUAGUGUAGCGGUGAAAUGCGUAGAGAUUAGGAAGAACACCAGUGGCGAAGGCGACUUUCUGGACGAAAACUGACGCUGAGGCGCGAAAGCGAGGGGAGCGAACAGG
rnacentral:rRNA from 1 species